ACCGUCCUUUUCCUGGGGUUGUGCUACUGUCCAAUGAGCGGGCAGUGAGGGCAGCACUGCCAACUCCUGCACAGCACGCUCACAUCAGCUAGAGCUUUGCUUUACCUUGGUGCAGUUUUUGGAAAA
rnacentral:ncRNA from 1 species